GACGUAGGGGGCCAGCGUUGUUCGGAAUUACUGGGUGUAAAGGGUCAGUAGGCGGUGCGGCAAGUCGGGGAGUGAAAUCUCUGGGCUUAACCCAGAGGCUGCUUCCGAAACUGCUGUGCUUGAGUGUGGGAGAGGCGCGUGGAAUUGCAGGUGUAGCGGUGAAAAUGCGUAGAUAUCGAGAGGAACACCAGUGGCGAAGGCGAGUCCCUGGACAACUUCUGACGCUGAGGCACGAAAGCUAGGGGAGCAAACAGG
rnacentral:rRNA from 1 species